UACGUAGGGUGCGAGCGUUAAUCGGAAUUACUGGGCGUAAAGCGUGCGCAGGCGGUGAUGUAAGACCGAUGUGAAAUCCCCGGGCUUAACCUGGGAACUGCAUUGGUGACUGCAUUGCUGGAGUAUGGCAGAGGGGGGUGGAAUUCCACGUGUAGCAGGUGAAAUGCGUAGAGAUGUGGAGGAACACCGAUGGCGAAGGCAGCCCCCUGGGCCAAUACUGACGCUCAUGCACGAAAGCGUGGGGAGCAAACAGGAUAGAUACCUGUA
rnacentral:rRNA from 1 species